AUCGCGUCGCUCCCCCCAUUCCUUCCUUCGGGAUGCUUGGCCGGGGGCGGAAACUGGUCUCCCGUUCCUCACUGAGCGGUUGGCCAAAAUAAGAGUCCCCUUCGACGGACGCACGACUAGUGGUGGUUGACAAAACCCGGAAUCGUGUUGUGUGUCUUGUCAAAAGGGUGCAUCUUAAUAGACCCAAUGCGUUGUCAUGUAACGACGCUUCGACC
rnacentral:misc_RNA from 1 species